AUGCUGAGAGGGUUUUGGGGUUUCCUUUCCAUCCAGGUUCUCUGAAAAUAAUGGCUUCUGGAACUUCGACAGUCGUCUCUCCUUAUUGUCUCUCCGAUUCGAUGACUCGUAGUGGGUCGAGAUGCUCUGUAUCUCCUGCGUUUGCUUUUGCAUCUCUAACGAACAAGAAACCCGGUUCCUGUCUUCGCCUCCAUGAGAAGAGCUUUCCUGCUUUCCUGAAAGGGAGAGUUAUAGGCGAUAGAAGUAGAACAGCAUCUCUGAGAGGACGUAAGGCCGUGACCUGUUCUGCAUCGUCGUCUUCUCUUCCGUCGGCUCUCCUCUUCGAUUGUGAUGGGGUGCUCGUCGACACGGAGAAGGACGGUCACCGUGUUUCUUUCAAUGACACUUUCUCUGAAAGGGAAUUGGGUGUUGUUUGGGAUGUUGAUUUGUAUGGCGAAUUGCUCAAAAUUGGAGGCGGAAAAGAGAGGAUGACAGCCUACUUUAACAAGACGGGUUGGCCAGAAAAAGCUCCAAAGAGUGAAGGAGAAAGAAAAGAAUUUAUUGCUUCACUGCACAAGAGGAAGACAGAAUUAUUUAUGGCUCUUAUUGAGAAGAAGUUGCUUCCCCUUCGGCCUGGUGUUGCAAAGCUGAUUGAUCAAGCUUUGACAAAUGGGGUUAAAGUCGCUGUAUGCAGUACUUCAAAUGAGAAGGCGGUCUCUGCUAUAGUUUCCUGCUUGUUGGGUCCUCAUCGAGCAGAGAAGAUUGACAUAUUUGCAGGAGAUGUGGUUCCUUGGAAGAAGCCUGACCCAGCCAUCUACCAAUUAGCAGCCACUACACUGGGUGUUGAGCCAUCAAGUUGCGUUGUGGUAGAGGACAGUGCCAUAGGUCUUGCAGCUGCCAAAGCUGCUGGAAUGAAGUGCAUAAUAACAAAGAGUGGUUAUACAGCCGAUGAGGACUUCUUGAAUGCAGAUGCUGUCUUCGAUUGCAUUGGAGAUCCUCCUGAGGAGUGUUUUGACUUGGCAUUCUGUGGAAGCUUGCUAGAGAAGCAGUACGUGAGCUAGCAGAUAAGAUACAAAGCAUUUCCUAGUGGGUUUGGUGAUUGAUUUCAUGUUCUUGUAGUUGUUUGUAAGAUUUCCUGAAUAAGAAUUAUGCAAAAUGACAAUUGGAGAAUA